GUGGAACUAGCUCUGAAAAAUAUGGAAUACAAGGCUAUGGAUGACAGCAUUGUAAAGAAAGGGGUCACUCUUGAAGAUCCUCACACUGAAGAUCUUAGCCAAGAAGUCAGGGGAUUUAUAUUCUCUAGGAUUCUGGAGCGUAAACAGGAGUUAACAUCUGAAAUAAUGGCUUUCAGGGAUUAUCUUCUAUCAUCAACAGUUUCUGAUACACUUGAUGUCUGGGAGUUAAAAGAUUUAGGGCAUCAAACUGCACAGAGAAUAGUUCAUGCUGCUGAUCCUUUGCAGUCAAUGCAAGAAAUUAAUCAAAAUUUUCCUAGUGUUGUCUCUUCUUUAUCUCGGAUGAAGCUCAAUGAAUCUAUCAAAGAGGAAAUUGUUACAAAUCAGCGAAUGAUUCCACCUGGAAAGUCAUUAAUGGCCCUGAAUGGUGCCUUAGUCAAUUUUGAAGAUAUUGACCUUUAUCUGCUGGUUGACAUGGUCCAUCAGGAGUUAUCAUUAGCUGAUCAAUACUCUAAAAUGAAGAUUCCUGUCAGCACCGUGAGGAAGCUCCUUUCAGCACUGCCCCCUUCUGAGUCUAGUACAUUCCGUGUUGAUUAUCGCUCAAAUCAUGUUCAUUAUCUCAAUAACUUGGAGGUGGAUGAGAUGUAUAAACGUUGGCGGAGCAAUUUGA
rnacentral:misc_RNA from 1 species